GCCCGCCUAGCUCAAUCGGAUAGAGCGUCAGACUUUUACGAUCGUCUCGACCGUUGACAUCUGAAGGCUGCGAGUUCGACCCUCGCGGUGGGCU
rfam:Stereum hirsutum FP-91666 SS1 unplaced genomic scaffold STEHIscaffold_16, whole genome shotgun sequence.